UUAAGCGACUAAGCGUACACGGUGGAUGCCCUGGCAGUCAGAGGCGAUGAAGGACGUGCUAAUCUGCGAUAAGCGUCGGUGAGGUGAUAUGAACCGUUAUAACCGGCGAUUUCCGAAUGGGGAAACCCAGUGUGUUUCGACACACUAUCAUUAACUGAAUCCAUAGGUUAAUGAGGCGAACCGGGGGAACUGAAACAUCUAAGUACCCCGAGGAAAAGAAAUCAACCGAGAUUCCCCCAGUAGCGGCGAGCGAACGGGGAGGAGCCCAGAGCCUGAAUCAGUGUGUGUGUUAGUGGAAGCGUCUGGAAAGGCGCGCGAUACAGGGUGACAGCCCCGUACACAAAAAUGCACAUAUUGUGAGCUCGAUGAGUAGGGCGGGACACGUGGUAUCCUGUCUGAAUAUGGGGGGACCAUCCUCCAAGGCUAAAUACUCCUGACUGACCGAUAGUGAACCAGUACCGUGAGGGAAAGGCGAAAAGAACCCCGGCGAGGGGAGUGAAAAAGAACCUGAAACCGUGUACGUACAAGCAGUGGGAGCCUCUUAAUGGGGUGACUGCGUACCUUUUGUAUAAUGGGUCAGCGACUUAUAUUCUGUAGCAAGGUUAACCGAAUAGGGGAGCCGAAGGGAAACCGAGUCUUAACUGGGCGUUAAGUUGCAGGGUAUAGACCCGAAACCCGGUGAUCUAGCCAUGGGCAGGUUGAAGGUUGGGUAACACUAACUGGAGGACCGAACCGACUAAUGUUGAAAAAUUAGCGGAUGACUUGUGGCUGGGGGUGAAAGGCCAAUCAAACCGGGAGAUAGCUGGUUCUCCCCGAAAGCUAUUUAGGUAGCGCCUCGUGAAUUCAUCUCCGGGGGUAGAGCACUGUUUCGGCAAGGGGGUCAUCCCGACUUACCAACCCGAUGCAAACUGCGAAUACCGGAGAAUGUUAUCACGGGAGACACACGGCGGGUGCUAACGUCCGUCGUGAAGAGGGAAACAACCCAGACCGCCAGCUAAGGUCCCAAAGUCAUGGUUAAGUGGGAAACGAUGUGGGAAGGCCCAGACAGCCAGGAUGUUGGCUUAGAAGCAGCCAUCAUUUAAAGAAAGCGUAAUAGCUCACUGGUCGAGUCGGCCUGCGCGGAAGAUGUAACGGGGCUAAACCAUGCACCGAAGCUGCGGCAGCGACACUAUGUGUUGUUGGGUAGGGGAGCGUUCUGUAAGCCUGUGAAGGUGGCCUGUGAGGGUUGCUGGAGGUAUCAGAAGUGCGAAUGCUGACAUAAGUAACGAUAAAGCGGGUGAAAAGCCCGCUCGCCGGAAGACCAAGGGUUCCUGUCCAACGUUAAUCGGGGCAGGGUGAGUCGACCCCUAAGGCGAGGCCGAAAGGCGUAGUCGAUGGGAAACAGGUUAAUAUUCCUGUACUUGGUGUUACUGCGAAGGGGGGACGGAGAAGGCUAUGUUGGCCGGGCGACGGUUGUCCCGGUUUAAGCGUGUAGGCUGGUUUUCCAGGCAAAUCCGGAAAACCAAGGCUGAGGCGUGAUGACGAGGCACUACGGUGCUGAAGCGACAAAUGCCCUGCUUCCAGGAAAAGCCUCUAAGCAUCAGGUAACAUCAAAUCGUACCCCAAACCGACACAGGUGGUCAGGUAGAGAAUACCAAGGCGCUUGAGAGAACUCGGGUGAAGGAACUAGGCAAAAUGGUGCCGUAACUUCGGGAGAAGGCACGCUGAUAUGUAGGUGAAGCGACUUGCUCGUGGAGCUGAAAUCAGUCGAAGAUACCAGCUGGCUGCAACUGUUUAUUAAAAACACAGCACUGUGCAAACACGAAAGUGGACGUAUACGGUGUGACGCCUGCCCGGUGCCGGAAGGUUAAUUGAUGGGGUUAGCGGCAACGCGAAGCUCUUGAUCGAAGCCCCGGUAAACGGCGGCCGUAACUAUAACGGUCCUAAGGUAGCGAAAUUCCUUGUCGGGUAAGUUCCGACCUGCACGAAUGGCGUAAUGAUGGCCAGGCUGUCUCCACCCGAGACUCAGUGAAAUUGAACUCGCUGUGAAGAUGCAGUGUACCCGCGGCAAGACGGAAAGACCCCGUGAACCUUUACUAUAGCUUGACACUGAACAUUGAGCCUUGAUGUGUAGGAUAGGUGGGAGGCUUUGAAGUGUGGACGCCAGUCUGCAUGGAGCCGACCUUGAAAUACCACCCUUUAAUGUUUGAUGUUCUAACGUUGGCCCGUAAUCCGGGUUGCGGACAGUGUCUGGUGGGUAGUUUGACUGGGGCGGUCUCCUCCUAAAGAGUAACGGAGGAGCACGAAGGUUGGCUAAUCCUGGUCGGACAUCAGGAGGUUAGUGCAAUGGCAUAAGCCAGCUUGACUGCGAGCGUGACGGCGCGAGCAGGUGCGAAAGCAGGUCAUAGUGAUCCGGUGGUUCUGAAUGGAAGGGCCAUCGCUCAACGGAUAAAAGGUACUCCGGGGAUAACAGGCUGAUACCGCCCAAGAGUUCAUAUCGACGGCGGUGUUUGGCACCUCGAUGUCGGCUCAUCACAUCCUGGGGCUGAAGUAGGUCCCAAGGGUAUGGCUGUUCGCCAUUUAAAGUGGUACGCGAGCUGGGUUUAGAACGUCGUGAGACAGUUCGGUCCCUAUCUGCCGUGGGCGCUGGAGAACUGAGGGGGGCUGCUCCUAGUACGAGAGGACCGGAGUGGACGCAUCACUGGUGUUCGGGUUGUCAUGCCAAUGGCACUGCCCGGUAGCUAAAUGCGGAAGAGAUAAGUGCUGAAAGCAUCUAAGCACGAAACUUGCCCCGAGAUGAGUUCUCCCUGACUCCUUGAGGGUCCUGAAGGAACGUUGAAGACGACGACGUUGAUAGGCCGGGUGUGUAAGCGCAGCGAUGCGUUGAGCUAACCGGUACUAAUGAACCGUGAGGCUUAACCUU
rnacentral:rRNA from 3 species